rnacentral:rRNA from 1 species
GUGGAUUAUAUACCCUGGUAGUCCACGCAGUAAACGAUGAUAGCUCGUUGUCGGCGAUACACAGUCGGUGACUUAGAGAAAUCGAUAAGCUAUCCACCUGGGGAGUACGUUCGCAAGAAUGAAACUCAAAGGAAUUGACGGGGGCCCGCACAAGCGGAGGAACAUGUGGUUUAAUUCGAUGAUACGCGAGGAACCUUACCCGGGCUUGAAAGUUAUUGACGGAUCUGGAAACAGAUCUUCCCUUCGGGGCAAGAAACUAGGUGCUGCAUGGCUGUCGACAGAU